CUAGCCACCCAGCAAAUCUACCAGGCUCCAGACUGGUACUGGAGGUUUUCUGCACAGAGUCCUGUGAUGUGAACCAUCUGUGGGUCUCUCAGUCUUGGAUACUGGCACCCACUCCAAUGGAGGUGGCAGGGGUGUGAAAUGGACUCUGUGAGGGUCCUUAGCUUUGGUUGAUUAAUGCACUAUUUUCAUGGUGGUUGGCCACACACAAUAACGCCUAUCCUCCUUUUAGGCUUUUUCUCCAUAGUAAUUACCACAUCUAUAAUACUAUAUAACUUAUUUAUUCAUUUAUUUUUUUUCCAUUAAAAUGUAAGCUCUGUGAAGGCAUGGAUUUGGGUCUUUGUUUCCACGGCUAGAAACCGGAUCUGGCACAUCACAUACCCUCAGUAAGUAUGUG
rnacentral:lncRNA from 1 species